UUCCAACGUCUAACACACAUCGUUUACGGCAUGGACUACGAGGGUAUCUAAUCCUCUUCGCUACCCAUGCUUUCGUUCCUCAGUGUCAGUAAUGAUCCAGAAAGCUGCCUUCGCAGUUGGUAUUCUUUCUAAUAUCUACGAAUUUCACCUCUACACUAGAAAUUCUGCUUUCCUCUAUCAUACUCUAGCUGAAAAGUUUUGAUGGCAGUUCCAGAGUUAAGCUCUGGGAUUUCACCACCAACUUUUUCAACCACCUACGAACUCUUUAAGCCCAGUAAUUCCGAACUACGCUAGGUCCCUUCGUAUUACCGCGGCUGCUGGCACGAAGUUAGCCGGACCUUCUUAUUCGGGUACAGUCAUUUUCUUCCCCGACGAAAGAGCUUUACAACCCAAAGGCCUUCUUCACUCACGCGGCAUCGCUGCAUCAGAGUUUCCUCCAUUGUGCAAGAUUCCCCACUGCUGCCUCCCGUAGGAGUUUGGGCCGUGUCUCAGUCCCAAUGUGGCUGAUCAUCCUCUCAAAUCAGCUAUUGAUCAUAGUCUUGGUAGGCCAUUACCCUACCAACAAACUAAUCAAGUGCGGGCUCAUCCAAUGGUGCAUAAAGCUUUCUCCGUAAAGACUUAUCCGGUAUUAGCACAAGUUUCCUCGUGUUAUUCCAGGCCAAAGGGUAGAUACCCACAUGUUACUCACCCGUCUGCCACUAAGUAUUGCUACUUCGUUCGACUUGCAUGUGUUAGGCGUGCCGCCAGCGUACGUUCUGAGCCAGGAUCAAACUCU
rnacentral:rRNA from 1 species